UGCUAGGUGAUUAAUUUAGGUGAAUGAGAGGGCGGAUAUAAAAGGGAAGCCAGGAGGGCAGGUAGCUCUCUCUGGCUGAGGACACAGAAAGCCUGUCUGUGGGAGAGACAUGUGAGUAAAGGGACAUCCCUUGUAUAGUAAGUGCCGGACAGGCAAGGUAUUUCUUUUGUUGCUGUGUUGUUAUAUUUCUUUUGUCUUUGCAACCUUUCUAAUAAACCUGACCCUGUGUCAGAUUGCACGAAC